GUGUGUGUCUCCUGUCUCGCGGGUGAGGCCGGAAAUAUACGUGCGCGGCGCGCGCGGUAGAAGCAGAACAGGAUCGUGUCUUCAGCGUCUGGUGAGGGAGGGAGAUAACUGAAGUAGCCUCGUCGUCUCUUCUCGUCUCGUCUUGUUGUCUCGCGUUCUUUCCCAUUCGGUACCCCAAGUCCUUCCCGGAGGACCGCACGAAGCCCGGCCCGCCUCCUCUGCUCCUCUGCCUCGUCCUCCGCGCCCGCUGCGGCCCCCGCGCCGCCGCCGCGUGCCACUACUUGGACGUGCGGAAGUGGGACCUGCUCGAGUUCAGGCAGUGGUUCUUAAAGAGGUGGCGGUUGAAGGAGCCGCUCCCGCCGAAGCCGGGGCAGAUGUUCCCCACGCAGCGGCCGCCGGAGGCGGGUCCGGAGCGGCGCGUCGUCCAGCGGCAGUUCAUGGAGCUGGAGCUGUCGCUGCCGCACGUCCCCGUGGCGCUCACCGACCGCCUCCACCACAUAGACCCCUACGACUCGGUGGGCGUGGACCACUUCGACGACCCCAAGACGUUGGUCCUGCUGGUGGCGUACGAGCAGAUGCUCAUGUACGGGGCCCCGUCGGAGCUCUUGGUGGAGAAGUUGUUAGGCGACCGCGGCGACGGUACCAGCUGCGCCGAAUUCUAGCGGCACCCGCGCCGGUUCCCCGACCGCAAGGACGUACUCCGCCUNNNNNNNNNNNNNNNNNNNNNNNNNNNNNNNNNNNNNNNNNNNNNNNNNNNNCUAAUGCGUCGCUUCGACAGCCUGAAGCCCGACCGGUUCCUCCCCGGCUUCCCCCUGCUGUGCGUGCACUGCUGCGCCCACUACCCGUGCGUGCCGAUGCGCCGCGGCCUCAUGUAGGAGUGCCCGGUGGAGUGCCGGUUCUCGCUGCACAUGUCGAAGCCCCACCACGAGGACCUCGACGAGUGCCCGGCCGCGAGGCAGCUGUUCGCCGCCGCGCCCGCCCUCGUCUUGGAGCAGCUGACCCGCGCGGGGAUGGACGCGGCGCGGCUGCUGGCCGACGUGGCGCAGUACCUGGGGCCGUACCUCAGCGUCAUGAGGUGCGCCCGCCGCGCGCCGCGGCGCCGGCACCGCGUGAGGACGGACGUCUCGCACGGGUUCCGCGCCGGGGCCUACGCGCUGCAGCACCUGCGGGAGCUCGGCGACGAGCGCGAGCUGCUGCUGCACGGGUACCCCGGGAAGCACAAGUGCCAGACGCUCGGCCUCCGCCGCCGCCCGUUCCCCCUGCCGCGGCCCCUGCUGCUCGGCCGCCGGCGCGUCCCGUUCACCGUGCAGUUCAGCCGGCACGUGCGCCUGUCGGGCGACGCGUUCCCACUGACGACCCAGUGGUCGCGGCGGUUUGCCGGCCUCUCGGGGGGCCCACACUAGACU
rnacentral:rRNA from 1 species